UACCCGCUGAACUUAAGCAUAUCAAUAAGCGGAGGAAAAGAAACCAACAGGGAUUGCCUCAGUAACGGCGAGCGAAGCGGCAAAAGCUCAAAUUUGAAAUCUGGCUCCUUUGGAGUCCGAGUUGUAAUUUGAAGAGGAUACUCUGGAAGCAUUCGUAGCAUAUGUUCCUUGGAACAGGACGUCAUAGAGGGUGACAACCCCGUUCAUGGUUACGAUUUGUGGACAUGUAGAGUUCCUUCUAAGAGUCGAGUUGUUUGGGAAUGCAGCUCUAAGUGGGUGGUAGGAGCCAUCUAAAGCUAAAUAUUGGCGAGAGACCGAUAGCGAACAAGUACAGUGAUGGAAAGAUGAAAAGAACUUUGAAAAGAGGGUGAAACAGUACGUGAAAUUGCUGAGAGGGAAGCGUAUGAAAUCAGACUUGAUUUGUUUCAAUCAUUGCCUCUCGGGGCGGUGCUCUUGGGCAAGUUGGGCCAGCAUCAGUUUUGGCGGCAGGAUAAUAGCUUAGGAAUGUGGCUCCUCGGAGUGUUAUAGCCUUUGUUGAUACUGCCUGCCGGGACUGAGGACCGCGCUUCGGCUAGGAUGCUGGUAAUAUGAUUUU
rnacentral:rRNA from 1 species